rnacentral:pre_miRNA from 15 species
UUUGACUUGCCCUGUAGAUUCGGGCUUUUGUAGUUGGGAAAAAAACAAAAAUCUAUUUUCAGAAGCUCGUUUCUACAGGCAUGUCAGAA